GGAAGUAGAGAGGAGACGUUGCUGGAAGUUGCAAUCGAGGAGGAAACCAAUGAGGAUGGAAGAGUACCGGACUAACGUGAUUGAGAGGAUAUUAAACCUCACCCUGGAGAUCGUCUACCUGCUGACCGGAGAGAGAUUUCCUCUUGUGAAGUCAGGUGAUCAUAUGACCAUCA